rnacentral:rRNA from 1 species
GACGAACGCUGGCGGCGUGCUUAACACAUGCAAGUCGAACGGAAAGGCCCUGCUUUUGUGGGGUGCUCGAGUGGCGAACGGGUGAGUAACCCGUGAGUAACCUGCCCUUGACUUUGGGAUAACUUCAGGAAACUGGGGCUAAUACCGGAUAGGAGCUCCUGCUGCAUGGUGGGGGUUGGAAAGUUUCGGCGGUUGGGGAUGGACUCGGGGCUUAUCAGCUUGUUGGUGGGGUAGUGUCUUACCAAGGCUUUGACGGGUAGCCGGCCUGAGAGGGUGACCGGCCACAUUGGACCUGGGGAAGGGCCCGUACUCCUACGGGGGGAAGCGGUGGAAAAUUUUGCCAAAUGGGCGGAGGCUUGGUGCAGCAACGCCGGGUGGGGAAGGACGGCCUUCGGGUUGUAAACGGCUUUCGCUUGUAACGAGCCGUUGGGACGGGAAAUGGGUAAGAAGCACCGGCUAACUACGUG